GCUAGAGACCAUGUUGCGGAGCCUUCGGUGGGCAAGUGGUCAUUUGAUUGAUGAAGAGAUGGCCAGCAAUCUAAUUGCUGUUGCCGAGGAGUUCCUACAAGAGGCAAAUGACAUCCAACAACGGGAACCUUACGAAAAUGCCAAUGUCCUGUCAAGUGCCUUUGGAGGGGAGGCGGUAUCACAUCACCAAGGAGCAGCUUGAGUUCCUCAUAGAUUGUCAUAUGACCAUCAGACAAAUGGCAGAUGUUCUCAAUGUGUCGCACUCUGUGGUCAAGUUGCGCAUGAGUCAUUUUCAGCUUUUCAGGUCCUACUCACUGUUGUCAGAUGCUCAGCUGGAUGAGAGGAUCAAAGAGCUGAUAUCAAUGAAAACAGAAUGGCAUCACUAUAA